rnacentral:misc_RNA from 1 species
UCUCCGUAGGUGAACCUGCGGAGGGAUCAUUACUGAGUGAGGGCUCCGGCCCGACCUCCAACCCCAUGUGAACCGAAACCUGUUGCUUCGGGGGCGACCCUGCCUUUCGGCGCGGCGUGGGGCCCCCGGAGCCCAUCAAACCCUGCGUAACUAAGUCGUCGGAGUUUAAACAAAUAAAACAAAACUUUCAACAACGGAUCUCUUGGUUCGGGCAUCGAUGAAGAACGCAGC